CGGUGUUUAACUGGCGUGAUGUGGGACGUCCUACCGGUGGGCUUAGCCUCGCGAGGGGCGGCCCAACUAAUAUCCCGUCGCGGUGCUCUUUACUGAGUGUCGAGUCGGGCCGGUACGUUUACUUUGAACAAAUUAGAGUGCUUAAAGCAGGCUAUCCUCGCCUGAAUACUGCGUGCAUGGAAUAAUGGAAUAGGACCUCGGUUCUAUUUUGUUGGUUUUCGGAACCCCGAGGUAAUGAUUAAUAGGGACAGAUGGGGGCAUUCGUAUUGCGACGUUAGAGGUGAAAUUCUUGGAUCGUCGCAAGACGGACAGAAGCGAAAGCAUUUGCCAAAAAUGUUUUCAUUAAUCAAGAGCGAAAGUUAGAGGUUCGAAGGCGAUCAGAUACCGCCCUAGUUCUAACCAUAAACGAUGCCAGCUAGCGAUCCGCCGAAGUUCCUCCGAUGACUCGGCGGGCAGCUUCCGGGAAACCAAAGCUUUUGGGUUCCGGGGGAAGUAUGGUUGCAAAGCUGAAACUUAAAGGAAUUGACGGAAGGGCACCACCAGGAGUGGAGCCUGCGGCUUAAUUUGACUCAACACGGGAAACCUCACCAGGCCCAGACACCGGAAGGAUUGACAGAUUGAUAGCUCUUUCUUGAUUCGGUGGGUGGUGGUGCAUGGCCGUUCUUAGUUGGUGGAGCGAUUUGUCUGGUUAAUUCCGAUAACGAACGAGACUCUAGCCUGCUAAAUAGGCGUACCUUAUGGUAUCGCGAAGGCCCCCGGCUUCGGCCGGUGGGUUUUUACUACCAACGUACAAACAAAUCUUCUUAGAGGGACAGGCGG
rnacentral:rRNA from 1 species